rnacentral:rRNA from 1 species
CAGCAGCCACGGUAAAACGAAGGGGGCUAGCGUUGCUCGGAAUUACUGGGCGUAAAGGGAGCGUAGGCGGAUCGUUUAGUCAGGGGUGAAAUCCCGGGGCUCAACCUCGGAACUGCCUUUGAUACUGGCGAUCUUGAGUAUGGGAGAGGUGUGUGGAACUCCGAGUGUAGAGGUGAAAUUCGUAGAUAUUCGGAAGAACACCAGUGGCGAAGGCGACACACUGGCCCAUUACUGACGCUGAGGCUCGAAAGCGUGGGGAGCAAACAGGAUUAGAUACCCGCGUAGUCCCUGUCUCUUAUAC